rnacentral:SRP_RNA from 1 species
UGUUGGGUCCUGUGCGAUUUCAUGGUGUGAACCCUGUCAGGUCCGGAAGGAAGCAGCAGUAAGCGCUGAAUGAGAUGUGCUGCGGGAGUGCCUGGCAUGG